GCCGUCGCGACGGCAGGGCUCCACGCCCCGCACACUCAACGCGCCGGCGCCGGCGCCGGGCCGCGGCUGCUCGUCUUCCUCAGCCCCUCCCGACAACGGAGGAGGGAAUCCUUUUGACUUUUCUCCGAGAGCAGUUGAGAGGCUUGGUCCUCAGGGACCAGACAGCAAAGAGAAAAGUCCUGCCCGGGACUUUUUCAGGAGCUUUAGCAUGCGGAGGCGGUCAGCGAAACAGAAGGCCUCCAGCGCGGAGGCCGAGCCGGCGUCGUAUGACCCUAACGCUCCCUCCAGUCCCGUGCACAAUCGCCGACUGCUCUCGGCCAAGGCUAUGCGGAUGUCGUCUCUGG